GUUGAUCCUGGCUUACGAUGAACGCUGGCGGCGUGCCUAACACAUGCAAGUCGAACGGAGAUGAAGCGCUGUCGAGACUUCGGUCAAAACUUGUUUAUCUUAGUGGCGGACGGGUGAGUAACGCGUGGAGAACCUGCCUCGUACUGGGGGAUAACAGUUGGAAACGACUGAUAAUACCGCAUAAGCCCACGAGACCGCAUGGUCAUGAGGGAAAAGAUUUAUCGGUACGAGAUGGAUCCGCGUCUGAUUAGCCAGUUGGCGGGUAACGGCCCACCAAAGCGACGAUCAGUAGCCGGCCUGAGAGGGCGGACGGCCACAUUGGGACUGAGACACGGCCCAAACUCCUACGGGAGGCAGCAGUGGGGGAUAUUGCACAAUGGGGGAAACCCUGAUGCAGCGACGCCGCGUGAGUGAAGAAGUAUUUCGGUAUGUAAAGCUCUAUCAGCAGGGAAGAAAGGCCUCGCAAGAGGAGAUGACGGUACCUGACUAAGAAGCCCCGGCUAACUACGUGCCAGCAGCCGC
rnacentral:rRNA from 1 species